CACUAUUACAUCAAGCCUCAUCGUACCUCCUCUCAUUGCCACGAUUGAUGAUCAAUAUCAUUCUACGAACUUAUGCAAGCAGCAAGAUCUCCAACAAUGCCAAACAAUAGGAUGAUCAUUGUACCACACAGUUGCUAGCGUGCGAUCCGGUUCUUCUUAAUAGUCCUUGUGCAGAUGGUUAGAACCAAGAGAAAAGCCGCACCAUCAAUUGAGAAAGUGAUGUAUCUAAAAAUACCAUGUAAGGAAUCAGCACUAACAAGCUUGUUAGGUUAUAGAGGGCUGAUCAUGUACUAAGAACUGACAAUUCGUUGAACGAAUCGGGAUCAGAGAGCUCCGUUCCCAAAACCGACAGUCAAUUGUGAAUUGCAAUCAAACCACGUUAUCCGGACGAUAAUCUACAAACAGAAGGCCUUCAACACCAGACGAUCGCUGCGGGAGGCUGCAUAAGUAGGAUCUACGCAAAUAGGAGAGGAGAGGAGUGACGUCAUCACUUUUCUUGCGACGAUUGCAUGGCAUUGGUGUGACACGCUUCAGGAGACAACAACACAAUGUGCGACACGAUCAUUGGACAUAACACCUCUGCAAUAAUCACAUUGCAACAAUCCAGUGCAACAGCCUGGUACCACAGGUUGCAGGUAGCAACCACGGGCGGCUAAUCAAGCUCAA